rnacentral:rRNA from 1 species
AUUGAACGCUGGCGGCAGGCCUAACACAUGCAAGUCGAACGGUAACAGGAAACAGCUUGCUGUUUCGCUGACGAGUGGCGGACGGGUGAGUAAUGUCUGGGAAACUGCCUGAUGGAGGGGGAUAACUACUGGAAACGGUAGCUAAUACCGCAUAACGUCGCAAGACCAAAGAGGGGGACCUUCGGGCCUCUUGCCAUCGGAUGUGCCCAGAUGGGAUUAGUUAGUAGGUGGGGUAACGGCUCACCUAGGCGACGAUCCCUAGCUGGUCUGAGAGGAUAACCAGCCACACUGGAACUGAGACACGGUCCAGACUCCUACGGGAGGCAGCAGUGGGGAAUAUUGCACAAUGGGCGCAAGCCUGAUGCAGCCAUGCCGCGUGUAUGAAGAAGGCCUUCGGGUUGUAAAGUACUUUCAGCGGGGAGGAAGGGAGUAAAGUUAAUACCUUUGCUCAUUGACGUUACCCGCAGAAGAAGCACCGGCUGACUCCGUGCCAGCCGCCGCAGUAA